GGGGGUAUAGCUCAGUGGUAGAGCAUUUGACUGCAGAUCAAGAGGUCCCUCGUUCAACUCCAGGUGCCCCCU